rnacentral:rRNA from 1 species
AAUGGCAGGUCAGCAUACUGCCGUGAAUACGUUCCCGGGCCUUGUACACACCGCCCGUCACACCAUGAGAGUUGGGAAUACCCGAAGCCUGUGAGCUAACUUUUAAGAGGCAGCAGUCGAAGGUAGAAUCAAUGAUUGGGGUGAAGUCGUAACAAGGUAAC